rnacentral:rRNA from 1 species
AUGCUUCUCAGGUCCUCCUCUUCCGCGUUCCUGCUAAACGGCGAUCCUGGAAUUCCUCUGAUCCACCGCCGUGGACUGCGGCAAGGAGACCCCUUGUCCCCGUUGCUGUUUAUCCUUGCCAUCGACAUCCUCCACCGCCUCAUAACAAAAGCUGCUGAAGAUGGCAUCCUUGCUCCUCUGCCUGGUAGAGAGCUGAAGCUGCGCACCAGCAUGUACGCUAACGAUGUAGUCAUUUUUGCAAACCCAGUUCGAGCAGAGUUCGACAAGCUGCUUGACAUCAUCACUAGCUUUGGGGAGGCUUCAGGUCUGCACCUCAACAUCAGCAAGUGCACUGUCACGCCCAUCAGAUGUGACCACAUUAAUCUCCAUGAGGCUCUGCAUGCUUUUGGUGGACAAAUAGUUGCCUUCCCAAUCAGAUAUUUGGGACUACCAAUAAGCCUCGGAAGAGCCAGACUGGUGCAUUUUUAG